GUUAGGAGCACAGACACAGAUAGUGGCCACACCAAGCUGAUGAAAGCAUGUUGCGUGAUUAGAGCUCUGUACGUAGGAGAUGGAGAUCGGUAAUGGAUGCACUACAGCUGAUUUCAGGGUUCUUCCAUGGUCACAAGACGUCUGCUUACUCCAUGUGUUUGGUGCAUAGAGGGAAUGCACACACCCAAGAUGGUUUAAAUAGUAUCCCUUGGCCAGUGAUCUCUACGUUUGCCUGUAGGAACAUGGAAACCAACCGCGCUCAAGCAUCCUCCAUGGUCACGCCGCUCCGUUGUUGCCUCUCUGUGGAAUGAGCACAGAGACCGAUAAUAGAACCCCAAGCUGAUUGCCAGGGUCAAGAUUGCCAUGUUGCUUCAUUU